UUUGAUCGAUUUCUUCGGAUUGAAAUUUUAGUGACUGAGUGGCGGACGGGUGAGUAACGCGUGGGUAACCUGCCUCACACAGGGGGAUAACAGUUGGAAACGGCUGCUAAUACCGCAUAAGCGCACAGUACCGCAUGGUACAGUGUGAAAAACUCUGGUGGUAUGAGAUGGACCCGCGUCUGAUUAGCUGGUUGGCAGGGUAACGGCCUACCAAGGCGACGAUCAGUAGCCGACCUGAGAGGGUGACCGGCCACAUUGGGACUGAGACACGGCCCAAACUCCUACGGGAGGCAGCAGUGGGGAAUAUUGCACAAUGGGGGAAACCCUGAUGCAGCGACGCCGCGUGAGCGAAGAAGUAUUUCGGUAUGUAAAGCUCUAUCAGCAGGGAAGAAGAAAUGACGGUACCUGACUAAGAAGCACCGGCUAAAUACGUGCCAGCAGCCGCGGUAAUACGUAUGGUGCAAGCGUUAUCCGGAUUUACUGGGUGUAAAGGGAGCGCAGGCGGAAGGCUAAGUCUGAUGUGAAAGCCCGGGGCUCAACCCCGGUACUGCAUUGGAAACUGGUCAUCUAGAGUGUCGGAGGGGUAAGUGGAAUUCCUAGUGUAGCGGUGAAAUGCGUAGAUAUUAGGAGGAACACCAGUGGCGAAGGCGGCUUACUGGACGAUAACUGACGCUGAGGCUCGAAAGCGUGGGGAGCAAACAGGAUUAGAUACCCUGGUAGUCCACACCGUAAACGAUGAUUACUAGGUGUUGGAGGAUUGACCCCUUCAGUGCCGCAGUUAACACAAUAAGUAAUC
rnacentral:rRNA from 1 species